rnacentral:lncRNA from 1 species
AGAAGCCCGGCUCCUCGCCGGGGAAGGCCGGGUGUUGGCCCGCCGGGACCUGGGACUUGUGCCACAUGGAGUGUCGGGAGUCUCCAGUGCCGCGAGUUCUACACCACAGGGCCAGGCUGUUUGCUCCCCAUCGGUCGCUGCCCCCAGCACCCUGUUGUUAUUAAGGACUCAUUUGCUUGGAGCGGCAUCAUUACAAGGGUGUGGGCACCAGAUACUGCUACACCAUCUCAUUGGCAUGGACCUAUAUGUGGCAGCAAGUCCAUCUCAUCGCUUUUGGUGAAAGUCAGUCCAGUUUGUAAAGAUUCUCAUUGUCACUGUAGACGAGGAACUGGGACACCAAAAGGAGAAACUCUGGCCACCCUUGCACCCUGUUCCCAAUCCUGGUCCAGUGUCACCCACAGAUGGUAAGGAGCUCUAGAGACCUCACCAGCCCCUGGGAUUGGUCACCUCACUCUUCUAUGGACAGAGAUUCCUGCUGGGAUCCUUUGAGGGCAAGCAGACCCUUCUUCCAGCUUGGACUGUGAACUCCACUGCAGCC